UUUCUGGUUGUUACAAGUAGAUGCCCCAAUUAAAUUGAGAUUAUUACAAAAGAUCAAUAUUCAAUUGACUGAACCAAAAAGACAAACACCACACACCAAAGUAUUUAAGAUACAUCUAAUAAUUACUAUAGUUUUACAAAGGCUUUUUUUAUAAUUUUUUUAAGUGUUAAAAUAUAUUUAAUUCGAGUAAAUAUAAAAUUAGGGAGUGUAUAUAAAAGUGAUACAAUAAACUCUAAGCUAUUAGAAAGAAAAUGAGAAAAGAUAUGAUUAAAUCUAUCAAGUUUGUUUAUGCUAUGGUACUCUAUCUUUCUCUAUUUUUUGUUGUAAUUGACUCAUACACUUUAAUGUGUUCUACCUCUAGAGAUUGCAUAUACAAUUAUUGUAAGUAUCCUACAUUACCUUGGUGUAGUUGGGUAUAUAUAUGUUUAUGUCGUGAGUAGUUAAGGAUAAACGUGACAAGACAGGACAAAUUCUGUCACACUCUUGGGUUGUUCCCAUUUAAGUAUUUCUUCCAUUGUAGAAGAAUCAACGGUUACGCCUCCUUUUAAAUUACAUGCUCGAGAAAUUUUACUUAGAAUGACUAAAAUUCAUAUUUUCUAAACUUAGCAAAUAACUUAUUUUCUCAAAGUAUUUGCAAUACAAUUCUCAAGUGUUCUUCAUUCUUUUGAAGGUUUGUGAUUAGAUUAAAAUAUUAUUAGUGAAUAUUACCGCCAACUUACCAUGGUAAGGUUGGAAAAUGUGAUUCAUAUAAUAUGUGAAUGUUAUUUGGGAAUUCGUAUCAUCGAAUCACAUCACCAAAAAGACAUUAGAUCAUCUGAAUAGAAUUGUCUAAUAUUGAAGAGAUUACGCCAACUUACACCAUAGUUUUUGAAAGGCAAACAAAAAAUAUAUAAAUAAAUAAAGGGGCACUACAGCCAAAGUACAGAGGGAUCCCGAAAAAGGCACAAGAAGUACCGAAAUCAGGAACAACACCAACAAAAACAAAGUCAAACAACUAGCUAAAAAUAACCCCGCCCAAGCUCAAAACAAGGCUACAAAAUAAACAACCAGAGAAACCACCAUUAGACAAGGCUAAAACUAUCCAAUAUAAGGACACCAGAAGAAACGCCGAAACCACAAAAGAAACCAACAAAAACACAUUCAAUGGAAGUCGAAACCACUCACCUUGCAUCAUAAUAUUGCGUGGUAUGAAAUAACUUUCUCAUUUGCAUCCAAUUUACACUGAAUUAAAAUAUAGCUAAUUGUUGUAACACAAAAGUAAGUAUAAAUUAUCGUCUCUACAUGGACUAGUUAUGUUUUAAAGACUGCUCAGUAGUUUCUAUAAUUCUAAGAAUGUGUUGUUUAAAGUUAUUUAUUUUUUAAAUUGGAGUAACAGAAAAUAGAUUUAACAUUGAGUGUUAACAAUGAAAAAACUUGUUGGGUUUAGAUUUCAUUUACCUAUUCACAUGUAGCAUCAUUGACCAGUAAUAUGCAAUUCUAAUUAGUUAUUAAUAUUACCGCUCAAAGCUCUCAUCAUUGCUUAUGUCUAAGUCAACAACGUGAUAUCAACCAUAAUACUUAAUAGACGGUCUUUAAGUCUAUUAACAAAUUUUUCAACAUUAUGUUUCAAUAGUUAAAAUUGAUGCUGAGCCUAAAUCUAUGUGUAGACAUUAGUAUAUCCAAUAUAUGAUAGACUAUGAUCUCCUAAUGAACCAUACCUUUCGAAUAUCAAGUCAUACCAUGAAAACAUGUUUUAGGUAGCUAAUAUAAAACAAGCAUUAGGAAUGAAUAAUUAAUCAAUAUUAAAACUUAAGAAGAGUUACAUAGAACACCAUGGUUGAGAUUAGAACAUGAGUUUUAGGACAUCUACAUCUAACCAAAAAUAAUAAUAACAGUGCUUACUCAUCGUAGCUUUACAAUCAAGCUCCAGAAGAAAGAAGUUGAACAUCAUCUACGACGAUUCUUUGAGCAACGCUUCCGCCCAUAACAUUCUUCUCAUUUUUCUAUCUGUUGUGACUUUUGGUGUUUAACCUAAAUUUCAAUGUGAACUAACUCAAAUCCAUAUCUCUUCUUUUCAUUUUCACUGAGUGGCACCCUUAUUUAUAAGGUUUGAAAUGAUAGGCUCGCUAAGCCCACUGCCCACGCUUGCUUAGCGUGCUUAGUUUCUUCCUCGCUAAGUAAUGUUAACUCACCUGCAACUUGCCUCGCCGCCUUUGAUUGCUAAGCACGCUGCACACGCUUUCUUAAAGCAUAAACCCUUCCUUCACCUUGAAGUAACAUAUCCCUAAAGUCAUAAAUCACCUUUGCUCACUAAGUGCACUUGUGUUCUUGGCUUAGCGAGCCUUGCUUGUUGAGAAAAUGUUUUGGCAAUGUCUUUGUGUUUCCUUGGUGACUUCUAAGUCCUUUUUACCUAGUUUUAGUCAAUAUUCAAUUAAAAUGUCCAAACAGACAAUUUAUCACUUUUCAUUGAUUAGUAGGGGUAUUUUCAUUUAUUAUUUGUAAAAUAGAUAGGGAGAAGAGAUUUGUACACCAUAUUUAUAUUAGUUUAGCUCAUUCUUCCUCGCUAGAGCUUAAUCCACUCUUUAAUGGUUUCACCAAUGAUAAUUUUCAAGGUCUUCCACUAUUUUGUGAAAUUAAUAUAAGAGUGUUUUUGGUACAACGGAUAAUCAACAAAGCUAAACACGACAAGUUAUUUGCUUUAUCCAACACAUGUUUUGAUCCCUCAGUUAUAGUAGAAUUUUGAAACUAUCAAUCUUUCAUGAUCAUUACAUGAUCUUGAUCCAAAAAUCUUGCUAAAUACAAAAAUCCUACCCCAAACUUCCAUUCUACUGCGACCCUUACUCAUUCCCACUGGUUCUUUGUCUGAGCGCUUAUUUUGCACAAUAAUGAUUGAAAAACUCCAAACUUCAGUUUUCAACUAUCUUUACAGGAUUUUACCGAAGUCUUCCAUGGAUUAUAGAGAACACUCAUCUCUUCGGUGGAAGUUAAUUCCCUAAUACCAUAGACACAAAGCAUAUAUUUAUCUUGAUACACACAUCAAAACUUCACAAAAAAAACCAGUUCCCCCAAUGUAUCUUGUAUCUACCACUCAAACUCAAUCUUUAGAGUUGAGCACCAUAACAAAAGUUUCUUGGUUCAAGGUUGAUGACGAUGAAAUUUAUCUAAAUCUCACACAACACAAUCUAGAUCUCACAAGAACAACAUUUUAGAAAGUUUUUUACAAGGUUGAAAUCAGGAAAAGAUGUGUUUGUGAAAGGGAAAACACUCAUGUGCUUUUCUCAAGAAUUAUGAAAAUAUAGAUCUUUGAUCCUACUUGAUCUCACAUCAUAUAUCUCUUUUUUUUUGGAAAGUUGACAAAAAUGAUUUAUAUAGGUGAUUUAUGGUUAGGCACAGAAACAUGAAUAAGAGAACACAUUAUUGGAGUCAAAUCAUGCAGUUAUAAUUUGAAUCACAAAAAGAAUGAAUUGAAUCAAUGUAAUAAAAUGUGGAAAUUGUCUUUUUAAUUUGAAUCAUUAUUUGCACUCAUCUUUCGAGUUAGAUAAAAAAUAAUUUGAAUCGUGAUUUUUUUCCAAAAAGCGUAUGGUCAUAAUUCGAGUCAAAAGAAAUUGGGAUUCGACUCAACGAGUGUUGUGAUUGAAGUCACACAUGUCCAUGAUUUGAAUUAACUAGACAGAGGGAAAUCCAAAUUUCAAAUUAAUGUUUGAUUUGAAUCAGUCAUAUGCUUGAUUUGAAUCAAGCUUAAAAAAACUUUGAUUUAAGUUUUCUAACUUAUGAUUCAAGGAACACAUAAGAUAUUACUAUGAUCAACUUGCUCAAACUUAAAAAACACAUUAACAUGGAUUCAAAUCUUAUUUAUUGAAUGUGAGGGUGACUCAAAGUACAAUUUUAAUCAAAUAAAUGAAUUACACACAAAUUGAAAUAAUAACAAAUCAAAUUAUAAUUAUAAUUAACAAAAGUUGUACACAACAUCAAAAUAAAGAUGAUUUCAAUUGAGAAAUUUCAAGUUUCCUUAAAACUCUACUCAGAGUUCUUAAACAAGAUCCUUGAAUAAAAGGUGGAAGCAAGAAACUCCAACACUUUUUAAAGAAGACAUGUCUUUUUCUUCUUUGGACAAUCACCACUAGAUUUCCAACUAGAUCUUAUUCCUUAAACACAUUAGAACUCUAACAAUUUCUCUCACAAGCUAGAACUCUCCAAAUUGAGCAACCAUCACACACUAGAUGAUGUUAUGAGUUUUUUAGGAAGAUGAAUUUUCUGAAAUAAAAUCUCAUUCUUAGAAAAAUGACAUUGAAGGCUUUGAUAUGUGCUUAGGGUAUGAAACAAAGUCAGUGUAAAAAAUUUGAAAUGAUUCGAGUCAACAAAAUGCAAUGAAUCAAAUUAAACAAAAAACGCAGAGUUUUUCAAGUUCUUACUCGAGUAAUGUGACUCGAUUUAUAAAAUUCCAUGA